AUUGAACGCUGGCGGCAGGCUUAACACAUGCAAGUCGAGCGGAGAGAGGUAGCUUGCUACCGAUCUUAGCGGCGGACGGGUGAGUAAUGCUUAGGAAUCUGCCUAUUAGUGGGGGACAACAUUUCGAAAGGAAUGCUAAUACCGCAUACGUCCUACGGGAGAAAGCAGGGGAUCUUGGGACCUUGCGCUAAUAGAUGAGCCUAAGUCGGAUUAGCUAGUUGGUGGGGUAAAGGCCUACCAAGGCGACGAUCUGUAGCGGGUCUGAGAGGAUGAUCCGCCACACUGGGACUGAGACACGGCCCAGACUCCUACGGGAGGCAGCAGUGGGGAAUAUUGGACAAUGGGCGCAAGCCUGAUCCAGCCAUGCCGCGUGUGUGAAGAAGGCCUUAUGGUUGUAAAGCACUUUAAGCGAGGAGGAGGCUACUUUAGUUAAUACCUAGAGAUAGUGGACGUUACUCGCAGAAUAAGCACCGGCUAACUCUGUGCCAGCCGCCGCAGUAAUAC
rnacentral:rRNA from 1 species